UCUCCGUAGGUGAACCUGCGGAGGGAUCAUUACAAGUGACCCCGGUCUAACCACCGGGAUGUUCAUAACCCUUUGUUGUCCGACUCUGUUGCCUCCGGGGCGACCCUGCCUUCGGGCGGGGGCUCCGGGUGGACACUUCAAACUCUUGCGUAACUUUGCAGUCUGAGUAAACUUAAUUAAUAAAUUAAAACUUUUAACAACGGAUCUCUUGGUUCUGGCAUCGAGAAGAACGCAGC
rnacentral:misc_RNA from 1 species